UUUUUUAGCGGAAUUAAGAAAAUUUUCCAUUGGAACGAUACAGAAAAGAUUAGCAUGGCCCCUGCACAAGGAUGAGACGCAAAUUCGUGAAGCGUUCCAUAUUUGU